rnacentral:rRNA from 1 species
GAUGAACGCUGGCGGCGUGCCUAAUACAUGCAAGUCGAGCGAACAGACGAGAGUGCUUGCACUCUCUGACGUUAGCGGCGGACGGGUGAGUAACACGUGGGUAACCUACCUAUAAGACUGGGAUAACUUCGGGAAACCGGAGCUAAUACCGGAUAAUAUUUAGCUUCGCAUGAAGCAAUAGUGAAAGACGGUUCUGCUGUCACCUAUAGAUGGACCCGCGGUGUAUUAGCUAGUUGGUGAGGUAACGGCUCACCAAGGCAACGAUACAUAGCCGACCUGAGAGGGUGAUCGGCCACACUGGGACUGAGACACGGCCCAGACUCCUACGGGAGGCAGCAGUAGGGAAUCUUCCGCAAUGGACGAAAGUCUGACGGAGCAAUGCCGCGUGAGUGAAGAAGGUUUUCGGAUCGUAAAACUCUGUUGUAAGGGAAGAACAAGUACGUUAGUAACUGAACGUACCUUGACGGUACCUUACCAGAAAGCCACGGCUAACUACGUG